CCGUGCUAAGCGGGGAGCUGGCGGUGCCCUGUACCCGAAAUCCGCUCAUGCGGGGCCGAAUUUCCUUUCGAGGGCUUAAACGGCAAGAAAGCCCCUUUUCCCCAGGAUCAGGAUUGGACGGUACGCAACAAACGGUUAUGAACCCCGUCAGGUCCGGAAGGAAGCAGCGGUAAAUAAUGCGGUUUGUGUCGUAUCCCCCUCUAAUCCAGGAUCAGGGGGAAAAACUUUCCUGUCGUUGGCUCGAAAAAGGAUGCACGG
rnacentral:SRP_RNA from 1 species